AGGAGAACUUCAGCCAACUGGAGAGCAUACCUUGGGUGAACUUGGUCACACUGGCAAACAAUAUCUCUGAUGUCUGAGUGAGUCCUUGCAGAUUUCAUCAAAAGGACCUGGAUAAUUUAAGGAUGUCAUUAAGUUUCAGACCCUCAGCAUUCUCCUUAGCUGAAUUUGGAUGAAAGAGAAUGAAUGAUAGAGAAGAUGGCUAAUGGAAAAAAGGAAAUGGAAAAGUCCACAACUAAGACAAGAAAACCAAAUUUUGUGAUCUCAGUUCUUUCCAGAUCACAAGGACUUUUCACCUUAGAAGGCACUGGCCUAUGGAAAAUGGAUGUCCAGCACAAGGAUCUUCUACCACGGAAUGAAGUCAUAGCAGGCUUCUAUGAACAAAGAACAGCAAAAGUAUUGCCAAUAAUUAGACAUUGACAGAAAAGGAAAAAGCAAUCUAAAAAGUUGCAGCCCUAAGUGCAUUUGUACUUAUUUGUACAUAUUGUCUUUGUACUCAUUUUGAAGGGAAGAAUAAUAGAGUAUAUACACAUAAAGGAAAACUGUAUCAAAUGCAACCUAGAAACAUUAAAGGACAAACACAGCAUAAUAACAUAUCUUUACAUUGUUGGGGUUUUUUUCCAGUAAUAUGCCUGAAUUUUAGGCAAAGGAAAUUCAGAAAGUAUUGCUUAACUCAUAGCAGAGCAUUUGACAAAUUAUAGAACAUGAAAUUAAGUAUUAGGUGAGGAAGAUGUGGAUUUUUAUAAAAACUGUACACUGAUAAAAUAUCUGUUCUAGUGGGGAUAAAACCCAGUUUUUUAAGGGAGGCAUUCAAGCUCGAAGGAUGCUAUUAGUUGUGGUUUUUUAAGAUAGGUUUCUAAACCAAUGCUGCUUAGUAUUUUCACCAAUAAACCUGGUACAAAAUGAGGAAGGAGCAAAUAGACUGCAGUGAUGACACAGCCAAAGGAAGGGCCAUCAAUGAAAUGCAGGACUGGAGUGAUAUACUCUGGGAACUGGAUGACCUUAAGGACAAGAGAAGAAAUAGGAUGAAGAUGAAUACUCAGCCCAGGGUAGUGUGUAAGGCUAGACACAUUUAGAUUCAGAGCAAAACCCUCAGCUGUUAACAGGAUUGCCAUCAGUGAGUCCAAACCUGCAUGAUGAGGGAGAAACAGGCCUGCUCAAUCACAGGAUGACUAAGAAGCACAAGCAUGAGAGAGCAGAAAAAAGGGUGAAAGCAGGGGCAGUUUCAAGAUACUGUCAACAGAGAGGAAAAAUUUAUUCAAUUGUGUGAGACUCAGCUGAGGCCUCAUCUAGAAUAUUGUGUGCAGUGCUCUGCAUGGCUGGGUAAGAUUAAAUAAACCUUGACCAAAUGGAAGAUACCUGAAUAAAUGGAAAUCUAUAAGUAUUGACUUGGUUAAUCUAAUGAGGGAUGAGAGUAGAUUGAUUACCCUAAGUAAAUACAGUACUACAUGAGAGAGGGAGAGGAAGCAUGUAUAAAUCAUGUGUAAUUGCAUUAACAUUAAAAGUGAAGAGGAGUUAUCUAACCCUCAGAGUAGCAAGUCCUUAAGCAGCCUUUCAAUAGGAAUGGCAGAUGUAAAGCAUCCACCUGGUCUCAAGAUAGGUCUCAGGUGGCUUGUGGAAUGAUUUUGUGUUGUGAUGCUGUUACAGAGAGGGAUUGGAGUCUGAAACCCAGUGUGCUUCCAUGUCUGUCCACUUCCACAUCGGUCCACAACCCUGAUGCAACCUACCAGUUGAACCUUCUGUAUCAAAUGGAAUAUUCUGAUUGUUCAAGGAGGUCCUGGUAGGCUCUAGGUUUAUCUUGCAGCACCCACACUUCCUGUAAGGAAUUAUGUUUGUUGGCAGAGACAGCACUCUGUAGAAUGAGUAUUUAUGGAUAAGCAUUUGGGGUUUUGAAAGUAAUUUUUGUCUGCAUUUUGUACACAAUUGCCCUCCAAUUCCCCUCUUCCUCCAUUUUAACUGUUCUGCCAUCUACAUUGGUUCAUUUUCCUCCUAGUCCACACAAAUGGUUUCUUUUCUCCAGGGCUUCCAACUACCUUUACAAUAUUGCAAGUGAAUAAUAGUAAAAAUAGCUCAUUGCUUCCAAGCCGAGUAGCCAUCUGUAAAGGCAUUGGCAUCCUUUCUUUUAAAAUAAAUAAGUCUUUGUUAAAUAUUUUAGACUUAGGUUAUAUCAGCAGCUUAAAAAGAUGAUGCCAGUGUAUUGUAUUAUUUUUCCCAAGGAAGAAGCAUCCAUGCCUUACAAGACAUUGAGGAGCAGUUCAGAGGCACAUCAUCAUAGCCUUGGUUGUCUGAGCCCUUGUCAAGACUCCUUUGUCCAACUCUGUUUUUCUGUCAGCAUCUCUCCAAUGCACACAAGGAUUUGAAGUAAGACUCAUAAAAUAGGAAGGUUGUGGCUUUACUGCAGGGCUACCAGCUGGAGGCUUGUGCAGAUGAAAGCAAAUAAGUCCCUGAAAGACUAGCAUUUAAGAGAUGCCUUGGAGGUGAAACAAAACAUUCACAACAAAGCGGUAUGUUACCUACUGUGCUGAAUUUUGUGAGCUGUGUGUUGACUACCACCCAAAAGCAGAUCCAAAUGAGGGAACCCAGUGAGGAAAACUUCUCUUGAAUCACAAUCCUGGCUUGACUGAAAUAUCUGGGUUUGUGGUGAGAUUUCAGUUUGUGAAGCUUUCAGCCACAUAGUUUCACUUCAUUCAAAGAAAGUGGAUUGGGUUGGGAUCAAUAGAUGAAAAUUUAUGCCCCAUUUGUGUGACUAGUAGGUACAUUUGUGGUAACUCACAUGAAAAUUUACAGUGUGCUCCAAAGGACCCCAAGUUUCCUUUCCUGUUAACAUUCUGCAGUAUUUCCUAUGUCAACAAAUCUUCUGAGUGGCAUUCAGCACUAAGAGCUUCGAUAGUCCUAGGUUUUACGUGAAUUUCUGUCUUCUUCUUCUUGUUAAGUGUUUGUGAAUAUAUUAUUAAAAUACCUAGUAGGAAACGCCAGUAAACUGAUGUCAACUUUAAUUUAGCUACACACAAAUAAUUUGCUGUCCUAAGUAGAAGCCUUGGAGGUUGAUUUUCAUCUCUCUUGUUGACUUCAUUUGAAAAUAUGUAUUGUGGCUUCUGCUGAAAUAGGUCCAGAAUUGUAGGGACGGCAGUACAUGUCUGGAUGCUGGAGAAAUAAAGGUUGUAAAAUGCAUUGAUUUUGCUCUUUCAAGGAGAGCUUAUCCUUAGGGCUGAUAGAUGCAAUGUGAGUCAUUGUUGUCACUGAAUAUUGUCCACUGAGUAUUGUCCACUGUUUCCAGUAGAAACAAUAACAAUGACACUGCCUGACCAAGGCACACCUGCCUGAUUUUGAGUUCCUCCUGCAGGCAGGUUAACUCUGCAUCACGCCAUUCCACGUCACCAGAACAGGCCGCUUGUGAGCUAAGAAAAGUAUCAUUUUAUUGUGUGCAUAAACUUCCAUCAAGAGUCUGCUGCAAAACAGCUUGUGUUUGGAGUUGGAAUAUUUAUGGAGCAUCUUGCAAACCAUUUUCAAGUUCUGCCGUUUAACACCUUCUUUGUGCCAUAUGUUCUGCCGUAUCCUUCUCGUUUUUCUAACGGAGAUGUUAAAUCUUGGUGCACUAAAUCUCACAGUUCGGGGAAGGUGCAUGGGGGGCAAAUGAGGGGGUUUUCCUUUUGUUUUAAUUUGCAGUUGGCGAGCUAACAUAUUUGAUGCUUCUCUUACCCCCACCCCCAAAAUGAAAUGUAGUUUACACUUCAAAGCCGUGCAGGCAUUUGGAUAAAGCGUAUCUAUUUAUGGCUAGCCUAUAGCAUUUAUGCAUUUAUCCUUGCCUAGCAUGGAAGCUGAUGGAGUUGUGGGUCCCCGCCAGGACGGUGACUUAUAUGUUUUCUAAGCCCUGGUGCUUCCUCUCCUGAAAGCUGUCUUGAAGUAGAGCAGCUUUAGAGGAAUCAGAGUUUGUAGGAUUGUUGUCAAAAAAAUCAUUACUUAUCUCUAUUUUAGUGAGGGGUAAGCUGCCUUGGAAUACCUUGAAUUUUUCAUUAAGUAAGAACAUCCCUCAGUGCAACUUCCUUCCCAACCUCAGCUCAGCAUCUCAUCAGACUAGCUUUUCUUGCUGUAACUCUUCUAUACACUUCAAGUAUAUAAUAUUUGUCUUGUAUUUUGUUCAAAAAAGCUCAGCUUUUCACAGCUCUACACCUCUGUUUGCAUCACAUACUGCUUAUAAAUAGGAUCUAGUUAAGGGAUUGAAAGUAGGAAGCGAAGAAGCCAGCAAAUUUUUCAAACUAUGUUAAAAUUCAAGUAUUAAAAUGUUAUGAUUUAGGUUCAUUUGAUGUAUUUUUUGGAACAUAUUUAAGAGCUUAUAAACUUGAUGCUAUUCAGUAAGUCAUUUUGGCCCAUAUUGUUCCCACACUGUUUAAAAUUUUGUAACAACACCCUGUUGGAAAGCAAAUAAACGUAAAAAAAAAUGCAGUUUCUGUAUUUUUAAAAAAUGGACUUUAAUGAAUAACUAAGGACCUAAUCAGUGUAGCUCCUCUGCUACACUGGGCAAAAAUUUUGACCUCUGGCUGCCAAGUGUUUGUCUGGUGGUUUCAUUACCAGUCAUUCUGUUGUAGGGACUCAGGGCUUUUAGAGCUCCUGAAUUUCUAACUUCUCAUGUAGGAAACUUUGCCAAUGUUU